AACAGGAUUAGAUACCCUGGUAGUCCAUGCCGUAAACGUUGGGAACUAGGUGUGGGUCUCAUUCCACGAGAUCCGUGCCGCAGCUAACGCAUUAAGUUCCCCGCCUGGGGAGUACGGCCGCAAGGCUAAAACUCAAAGGAAUUGACGGGGGCCCGCACAAGCGGCGGAGCAUGCGGAUUAAUUCGAUGCAACGCGAAGAACCUUACCAAGGCUUGACAUACACCGGAAACAUCCAGAGAUGGGUGCCCCGCAAGGUCGGUGUACAGGUGGUGCAUGGUUGUCGUCAGCUCGUGUCGUGAGAUGUUGGGUUAAGUCCCGCAACGAGCGCAACCCUCGUUCUAUGUUGCCAGCACGUGAUGGUGGGGACUCAUAGGAGACUGCCGGGGUCAACUCGGAGGAAGGUGGGGAUGACGUCAAAUCAUCAUGCCCCUUAUGUCUUGGGCUUCACGCAUGCUACAAUGGCCGGUACAAAGGGCUGCGAUACCGUAAGGUGGAGCGAAUCCCAAAAAACCGGUCUCAGUUCGGAUUGGGGUCUGCAACUCGACCCCAUGAAGUCGGAGUCGCUAGUAAUCGCAGAUCAGCAACGCUGCGGUGAAUACGUUCCCGGGCCUUGUACACACCGCCCGUCAAGUCACGAAAGUCGGUAACACCCGAAGCCGGUGGCCCAACCUCUUGAGGGGGGAGCCGUCGAAGGUGGGACUGGCGAUUGGGACUAAGUCGUAACAAGGUAACC
rnacentral:rRNA from 1 species